rnacentral:lncRNA from 1 species
CUGAAAUGUACACAUUUAGCUAUAAUGUGUGUGUGACAAAUGCGUCCCCCACUCCACUUACCUCUCUCUCUCUUGGUUCCUAUGUGUCUCUGCUUUUUCUGGCCAGAUCCCUUCCAGGGAGUGCAGCACGGGGUCCUGAAGCUGAGCCAGCUGGAGGAGACGGUUAAAGGAACCAUUUCUGCGGAGGGUGUACAGCCAGUAGGGCCUCAUUCAUAGGGGCCUGUUUUGUGGCGUAGGUAGACAGGUCUUCAGGGAAUCCCAGAGUUUUGGAAGAAUGGAACCCUCAGAUAUCUUGUGCUGGUGGAAAUGGUUAAGAAAGUUGUGGGCUCACAGCAAGCCUAGAUUUGUCACAUGGCUUUAAAGACAGUUAAUACAUUAGCUACUAAGUUAACAUAACCAGUCCAAAAUAUUGUUAGGGAAUAUGAACGAUGUGUUGGUGAUGUUUGUUUUUUAACGACUGGUUUGUAAGGCCAUUUCACGUCACAGUUGUACUUUGACAAAGACGUUGAUGAAAGUUACAUUCAGACGGAUGUAACUUGAACCUCGUUGCUCUGUCAAAGCUAUACAGCGCGACACAAAAGAGUUGAGUCUAUAUGUGUGAAAUACGGAAUUCUUGUCAUGUUCUAUUUUAAAAGAGGAAGGAUCUAAUUUGUGAAGUAACUGAGCAUGUAAACUGAAUUUACACAGCAUCGAAACUAAAGGAGGAAGCUUGAAUAUAGCAGUUGGGUGUUGCUUACAGUACACUGUUUGCAUGCAGUAAAAAGGAAAUGAUUAACUUAUCAUGUGAUGCAGUUGUUUGUUACACACAACUUCACCUUUUUUCUACAGCUCAAAUACUGUAUCCGUGGUUUUGGGUGGGGUUUGAGUUUAAAUAAACUCUGCCCUGGUUAAAGAAACUGAG